rnacentral:misc_RNA from 1 species
CAAGUACCGAGUAUGAAGACCACAAAGGGAGAAUAGCAAUUGGACGUCUGCAUGCUGGGGUCUUGCAACGAGGCAUGGAUGUGAAGGUAUGCACACCAGAUGAAGUAUGCAGAUUUGGUAAGGUGACUGAGCUUUUUGUGUAUGAGAACUUCACAAGAGUUCCCGUUGAGGAAGUGCAGGCUGGUGAUAUUUGUGCGGUCUGUGGUUUCAGUGAUAUAAUGAUCGGGGAGACAAUAGCGGAUAAAAUUUCUGGAACAGCAUUGCCUUCAAUUAAAGUGGAAGAGCCAACAGUGAGAAUGUCUUUCUCUAUAAACACUGCACCAUUUGUUGGUCGAGAGGGGAAAUUUGUAACCAGUCGAAACCUUCGAGAGAGGCUUUAUAGAGAGAUUGAGAGGAAUUUAGCGAUGAAAGUUGAAGAUGGGGAAACAGCCGAUACAUUUAUUGUUAGUGGCAGGGGCACACUCCAUAUCACCAUUUUGAUAGAAAACAUGCGAAGAGAAGGAUUUGAGUUUAUGGUGGGGCCACCUAAGGUUAUAAUAAAAAAAGUCAACGACAAGUUGCUGGAGCCUUUUGAGAUUGCGACUGUCGAGGUCCCAGAAGAAUACAUGGGGCCUGUAGUUGAGCUUCUAGGAAGUAGACGUGGACAAAUGUUUGACAUGCAAGGAGCUGGGUCGGAGGGAACUUCAUUGCUUAAAUACAAAAUUCCAACUCGUGGACUUCUUGGACUGCGGAAUGCAAUACUGACCGCUUCUCGAGGCACAGCCGUACUCAACACAAUAUUUGAUAGUUACGGACCCUGGACUGGAGAUAUGAGCACGCGGGACCAGGGUUCUUUGGUUGCCUUUGAAGAUGGGACUACGACUUCAUACGCUCUUUUUAGUGCGCAAGAAAGAG